rnacentral:rRNA from 1 species
CCCCUAGUAACUGCGAGUGAAGCGGGAAAAGCUCAAAUUUAAAAUCUGGCAGUCUUUGGCUGUCCGAGUUGUAAUCUAGAGAAGUGUUAUCCGCGCUGGACCGUGUACAAGUCUCCUGGAAUGGAGCGUCAUAGAGGGUGAGAAUCCCGUCUUUGACACGGACUACCAGGGCUUUGUGAUAUGCUCUCGAAGAGUCGAGUUGUUUGGGAAUGCAGCUCAAAAUGGGUGGUAAAUUCCAUCUAAAGCUAAAUAUUGGCGAGAGACCGAUAGCGAACAAGUACCGUGAGGGAAAGAUGAAAAGAACUUUGGAAAGAGAGUUAAACAGUACGUGAAAUUGCUGAAAGGGAAACGCUUGAAGUCAGUCGCGUUGUCCAGGGAUCAACCUUGCUUUUGCUUGGUGCAUUUCCUGGUUGACGGGUCAGCAUCAGUUUUGACUAUUGGAAAAAGGUUAAGGGAAUGUGGCAUCUUUGGAUGUGUUAUAGCCCUUGGUUGCAUACAAUAGUUGGGAUUGAGGAACUCAGCACGCCGAAAGGCCGGGUUUUUAACCACGUACGUGCUUAGGAUGCUGGCAUAAUGGCUUUAAUCGACCCGUCUUGAAACACGGACCAAGGAGUCUAACAUGCCUGCGAGUGUUUGGGUGGAAAACCCGAGCGCGCAAUGAAAGUGAAAGUUGAGAUCCCUGUCGUGGGGAGCAUUGACGCCCGGACCAGACCUUUUGUGACGGUUCCGCGGUAGAGCAUGUARGUUGGGACCCGAAAGAUGGUGAACUAUGCCUGAAUAGGGUGAAGCCAGAGGAAACUCUGGUGGAGGCUCGUAGCGAUUCUGACGUGCA